GCCAGGGUGGUCGAGUAGUCUAAGGCGCCAGACUCAAGUGCUGGUCCUCCUAAGAUGGCGUGGGUUCAAGUCCCACUUCUGACA
rnacentral:tRNA from 1 species